rnacentral:tRNA from 1 species
GGAGGAGUGGCCCAGUGGUUACGGCGGGAGGUUGCUAACCUCCGACCCGCAAGGGUCUCGUGGGUUCGAAUCCCACCUCCUCCG